UACGAAGGGGGCUAGCGUUGUUCGGAAUCACUGGGCGUAAAGCGCACGUAGGCGGAUCUUUAAGUCAGGGGUGAAAUCCCGAGGCUCAACCUCGGAACUGCCUUUGAUACUGGGGAUCUCGAGUCCGGGAGAGGUGAGUGGAACUGCGAGUGUAGAGGUGAAAUUCGUAGAUAUUCGCAAGAACACCAGUGGCGAAGGCGGCUCACUGGCCCGUAACUGACGCUGAGGCACGAAAGCGUGGG
rnacentral:rRNA from 1 species